rnacentral:ncRNA from 1 species
CUUGUGGAGUAUUACAGAAACUAUAGUAGCAAGUAUAACUGCGAGAUAGAAUACGAUGAAACAAGAA